UGUAACGGGGCUAAACCAUGCACCGAAGCUGCGGCAGCGACACUGUGUGUUGUUGGGUAGGGGAGCGUUCUGUAAGCCUGUGAAGGUGUGUCGUGAGGCAUGCUGGAGGUAUCAGAAGUGCGAAUGCUGACAUAAGUAACGAUAAAGCGGGUGAAAAGCCCGCUCGCCGGAAGACCAAGGGUUCCUGUCCAACGUUAAUCGGGGCAGGGUGAGUCGACCCCUAAGGCGAGGCCGAAAGGCGUAGUCGAUGGGAAACGGGUUAAUAUUCCCGUACUUGGUGUUACUGCGAAGGGGGGACGGAGAAGGCUAUGUUGGCCGGGCGACGGUUGUCCCGGUUUAAGCGUGUAGGUGUGUGUUCCAGGUAAAUCCGGUUCACUUUAACACUGAGGCGUGACGACGAGGCACUACGGUGCUGAAGCAACAAAUGCCCUGCUUCCAGGAAAAGCCUCUAAGCAUCAGGUAACAUCAAAUCGUACCCCAAACCGACACAGGUGGUCAGGUAGAGAAUACCAAGGCGCUUGAGAGAACUCGGGUGAAGGAACUAGGCAAAAUGGUGCCGUAACUUCGGGAGAAGGCACGCUGACACGUAGGUGAAGUGAUUUACUCAUGGAGCUGAAGUCAGUCGAAGAUACCAGCUGGCUGCAACUGUUUAUUAAAAACACAGCACUGUGCAAACACGAAAGUGGACGUAUACGGUGUGACGCCUGCCCGGUGCCGGAAGGUUAAUUGAUGGGGUCAGCGCAAGCGAAGCUCCUGAUCGAAGCCCCGGUAAACGGCGGCCGUAACUAUAACGGUCCUAAGGUAGCGAAAUUCCUUGUCGGGUAAGUUCCGACCUGCACGAAUGGCGUAAUGAUGGCCAGGCUGUCUCCACCCGAGACUCAGUGAAAUUGAACUCGCUGUGAAGAUGCAGUGUACCCGCGGCAAGACGGAAAGACCCCGUGAACCUUUACUAUAGCUUGACACUGAACAUUGAGCCUUGAUGUGUAGGAUAGGUGGGAGGCUUUGAAGUGUGGACGCCAGUCUGCAUGGAGCCGACCUUGAAAUACCACCCUUUAAUGUUUGAUGUUCUAACGUGGACCCGUUACCCGGGUUGCGGACAGUGUCUGGUGGGUAGUUUGACUGGGGCGGUCUCCUCC
rnacentral:rRNA from 2 species